rnacentral:rRNA from 1 species
UACGAAGGGGGCUAGCGUUGUUCGGAAUUACUGGGCGUAAAGCGCACGUAGGCGGACAUUUAAGUUAGGGGUGAAAUCCCGGGGCUCAACCCCGGAACUGCCUUUGAUACUGGGUGUCUUGAGUGUGGUAGAGGUGAGUGGAAUUGCGAGUGUAGAGGUGAAAUUCGUAGAUAUUCGCAGGAACACCAGUGGCGAAGGCGGCUCACUGGACCACAACUGACGCUGAGGUGACGAAAGCGUGGGGAGCAAACAGG